CACUCUUUAUUGCAGUCAAAUAGAGAAACCUCACAGGUUUCCCCUGGCCAUCUGGUCCCCUGUAAAUCAAGCCAAUAAUGACUUUCAUCGCUGAAAUCUAAUUAUUAUUCAAACCUCCAUGAGGAAAGCUAAACAAAUAAUCGGAACCAGGUAUUGGAUACUAGGGAAUGUCAGGGGCAGUUUCUAGGAUUGCCCGGUAUCAGUGGAUGCGUGAUAAAUGGAAGAACGGAAAAGGUGUCCUGUCAUGAGGAACAAAUACUUUGUUUUCAUUGCUGUUUAAAAAGAUACAAUGGAAAAAUGGAGCUCAUGGCUCCUAAAACCUCAUCAAUUGUUUUAAUUUAUACCCUCGUAUAUUUCAAAUAUGUUAUGAAGGUGACUCCAUUGUUAAUGGGAUACAGAAUAGACAAAGAAGAAUAAUGAGACUUGUGGAAAACAAUAAGGUAACUUGAGAAACUGAUCAUGAAUGAAGAAAAUUUAGGAUCAUCAUAACAAUCACCUCCAUCUUUAUCAUCAUCAUCACAAUCAUGAAUAUUUGCAUACUGCAUGAAGGUUGACAAGGCACUUUUUCCAUCCUACUAAGAAAAUAAUAAGAUCACAGACUUAAACUUAGAAGGAACCAAGAAUGCCAUAUGAUCCCAUUCCUUCAUUUACAUCUAUGGGCACUGAUGUCUUAAAAAAUAAAUAAAAGACUUAAAGAUUUA